CAACCCCCUUUCACUUUGCCAAUUGGACUUAUGUCUUUAUUGCUCAUUCAAGUGGGGCAAAAUUAAGAUUCAGGCAAACUGAGUGUUUGUUCUAAACCUGUCAGAAGAAACAAAU
rnacentral:snoRNA from 1 species